GCAUUGGUGGUUCAGUGGUAGAAUUCUCAUUUUGCAUGUAAGAGACCUGGGUUUGAUUGCUGGCCAAUGCA
rnacentral:tRNA from 1 species